rnacentral:rRNA from 1 species
AUGCAAGUCGAGCGGGGGAAGGUAGCUUGCUACCGGACCUAGCGGCGGACGGGUGAGUAAUGCUUAGGAAUCUGCCUAUUAGUGGGGGACAACAUCUCGAAAGGGAUGCUAAUACCGCAUACGUCCUACGGGAGAAAGCAGGGGAUCUUCGGACCUUGCGCUAAUAGAUGAGCCUAAGUCGGAUUAGCUAGUUGGUGGGGUAAAGGCCUACCAAGGCGACGAUCUGUAGCGGGUCUGAGAGGAUGAUCCGCCACACUGGGACUGAGACACGGCCCAGACUCCUACGGGAGGCAGCAGUGGGGAAUAUUGGACAAUGGGGGGAACCCUGAUCCAGCCAUGCCGCGUGUGUGAAGAAGGCCUUAUGGUUGUAAAGCACUUUGAGCGAGGAGGAGGCUACUUUAGUUAAUACCUAGAGAUAGUGGACGUUACUCGCAGAAUAAGCACCGGCUAACUCUGUGCCAGCAGCCGCGGUAAUACAGAGGGUGCGAGCGUUAAUCGGAUUUACUGGGCGUAAAGCGUGCGUAGGCGGCUUAUUAAGUCGGAUGUGAAAUCCCCGAGCUUAACUUGGGAAUUGCAUUCGAUACUGGUGAGCUAGAGUAUGGGAGAGGAUGGUAGAGUUCCAGGUGUAGCGGUGAAAUGCG